GAUGAACGCUGGCGGCGUGCCUAAUACAUGCAAGUCGAGCGAACGGACGAGAAGCUUGCUUGUCUGAUGUUAGGGGAGGACGGGUGUGUAACACGUGGAUCACCUACCUAUAAGACUGGGAUAACUUCGGGAAACCGGAGCUUAUCCCGGAGAAUCUUUUGAUCCGUGUGGUUCAAAAGUGAGAGACGGUCUUGCUGUAACUUAUAGCUGGAUCCGCGCUGCAUUGGCUAGUUGGUAAGGUAACGGCUUAUCAAGGGAACGAUGCAUAGCCGACCUGUGAGGGGGAUCGGCCACUCAGGAGCUGAGAGGCGAUCCAGGCACCGACGGGAGGCAGCAGUAGGUAAUCUUCCGCAAUGGGCGAAAGCCUGACGGAGCAACGCCGCGUUAGUGAUGAAGGUCUGCGUAUCGUAAAACGCUGUUAUUAGUGAAGAACAUAUGUGUAAGUAACUGUGCGCAUCUUGACGGUACCUAAACAGAAAGCCACGGCUAACUACUU
rnacentral:rRNA from 1 species